CAGCAAUUCUGUGACUCUGCAGGUACUGUUCUUGUCACCCCCAUCUUACAGGUGAGGAGCCUGAAGCUGAGACAAACUGAAGGUCCCUG